CAAUAGCGUAUAUUAAAGUUGUUGCAGUUAAAAAGCUCGUAGUUGGAUUUGUGGCUGUCGCCUGCGGCCUGGCAUUCGUGCCGGUGUCUGCUAGCGUCGCCAUCCUUGGGUGGAACCUGUGUGGCAUUAGGUUGUCGUGCAGGGGAUGCCCAUCGUUUACUGUGAAAAAAUUAGAGUGUUCAAAGCAGGCUUACGCCGUUGAAUAUAUUAGCAUGGAAUAAUAAGAUAGGACCUUGGUACUAUUUUGUUGGUUUGCGCACCAAGGUAAUGAUUAAUAGGGACAGUUGGGGGUAUUCGUAUUCCAUUGUCAGAGGUGAAAUUCUUGGAUUUUUGGAAGACGAACUACUGCGAAAGCAUUUACCAAGGAUGUUUUCAUUAA
rnacentral:rRNA from 1 species